GAUCCUGGCUCAGAACGAACGCUGGCGGCGUGGAUAAGACAUGCAAGUCGAGCGCUAAUUACAGGGUAGCAAUAUUCUGUAGUUGGAGCGGCGCAAGGGUGCGUAACACGUGGGAAUCUGCCAUGAAGUUUGGGAUAACUCGCUGAAAGGCGAGCUAAUACCGAAUGUGACGAUUGGACUUUAAAGUUGGAUCGUAAGACCUGACGCUUCAUGAUGAGCCCGCGGCCUAUCAGCUAGUUGGUGAGGUAACGGCUCACCAAGGCUAAGACGGGUAGCUGGUCUGAGAGGACGACCAGCCACACUGGAACUGAGACACGGUCCAGACACCUACGGGUGGCAGCAGUCGAGAAUUUUUCACAAUGGGGGAAACCCUGAUGGAGCGACGCCGCGUGGGGGAUGAAUGGCUUCGGCCCGUAAACCCCUGUCAUUCGAGAACAAAUUGGUUCAAUUAACACCUGAACCAUUGAUAGUACCGGAAGAGGAAGGGACGGCUAACUCUGUGCCAGCAGCCGCGGUAAUACAGAGGUCCCGAGCGUUGUUCGGAUUCACUGGGCGUAAAGGGUGCGUAGGCGGUCGGGUAAGUCUGAUGUGAAAUCUCACAGCUUAACUGUGAAACUGCAUUGGAUACUAUUCGGCUUGAGAGUUGGAGGGGGGACUGGAAUUCUUGGUGUAGCAGUGAAAUGCGUAGAUAUCAAGAGGAACACCAGUGGCGAAAGCGAGUCCCUGGACAACUUCUGACGCUGAGGCACGAAAGCUAGGGGAGCAAACAGGAUUAGAUACCCUGGUAGUCCUAGCUGUAAACGGUGCUUAUUUGCUGUAAAAGGAAUCGACCCCUUUUGUGGCGUAGCAACGCGUUAAAUGCAGCGCCUGGAGAGUACGGUCGCAGAGUUAAAACUCAAAGGAAAUGACGGGGGCCCGCACAGCGGGUGGAAGCAUGUGCUUC
rnacentral:rRNA from 1 species